UCAUUCUCUUGUACACAUUACAUUUUCCCCCCCAUUUUUUUUCAUUUUUUUCUUCCCCUUUUUUCAUUUUUUCUUCAUAUAUACUGACAAUAGUGAAGAGCAUAUGGUCCUCACGUAACGACUAAACAUCACUAUCUAAUGAAGUAUUG
rnacentral:ribozyme from 16 species